GGGAUUCAUGUAUUUGUUAACUAAUCAUAGUUGCCAACUAGCAAAAUUUGGCAGCUGCCUUUGAAGGCUUAGCACAUAUUCACGUGGUGUGCCUUAAGGAUUUUUUGUUUUCUACUACUUCUCACCCCACCGUUCCUAUAUAACACUGCACUUCUCUACUCUAUUAUAAAAAAAUUAUCAGUCUUUUCUUUUCUUCACCAAAACCCACAAAAAUGGAGUCCUCCAAGAUUUCAGCUCUUCUUCUCAUUUGCAUGCUUUUCAUUUCCUCUGCUGCUCCAAUUCUUGGCUGUGGCAGUUGUGGCAAACCACGGCAUAAGCACAAAAGCCCUAAAAGACCAAAAACUGUUCCUCCAAUUGUUAAGCCUCCAAUUAAUUUGCCUCCUGUUACAGUUCCUCCAAUUGUAAAACCACCAAUCACACUCCCUCCCGUUACAGUUCCUCCAAUUGUAAAACCACCAGUGACACUCCCUCCUGUUACAGUUCCUCCAAUUGUGAAGCCACCAGUUACGCUCCCUCCUGUUACAGUCCCUCCGGUUACAGUUCCUCCAGUUUUAAAUCCACCAAAGGGAAGUGGGAAAAAACCUUGCCCAUCACCACCAGCAAAACAGGAGACUUGCCCUAUUGACACACUGAAAUUAGGGGCUUGUGUUGAUUUGCUUGGUGGGUUAGUGCACAUUGGGCUAGGGGACCCUGUUGUGAACCAGUGCUGUCCAGUUAUUGAAGGACUUGCAGGUCUUGAAGCUGCUGUUUGCUUAUGCACUACUCUUAAGCUUAAACUUCUCAACCUUAAUGUUUAUGUCCCCAUUGCCCUUCAACUCCUUGUUACUUGUGGAAAGACUCCUCCUCCUGGUUACACUUGCUCUCUUUAGAUCCAAGUUAAGUGCGUAUUCUCUUCGCUUUGCUUGAAAAUUAGCUGAUAAUUUAAUGAUCGACUGUCUGUCUUAUCAUGCAAAAAUUCGGGAGUUAAAACCCUAAUUUGAGUACUUGAACGAUUUAUGUUAAUGCAGG
rnacentral:lncRNA from 1 species